rnacentral:rRNA from 1 species
GACGAACCGUGCGAACGUUGUUCGGAAUUACUGGGCGUAAAGGGCGCGUAGGCGGCCCGCUAAGUCGAACGUGAAAUCCCCGAGCUCAACUCGGGAACUGCGUCCGAUACUGGUGGGCUUGAAUCCGGGAGAGGGAUGCGGAAUUCCAGGUGUAGCGGUGAAAUGCGUAGAUAUCUGGAGGAACACCGGUGGCGAAGGCGGCAUCCUGGACCGGCAUUGACGCUGGGGCACGAAAGCCAGGGGAGCAAACGGG